AGAGGAAGAUCCAACCCCCCAGGAGAUGGGGGUCCCGGUGCGUGCCAGCCGGGACCUGGACCUGGGUGUGGGCGGGCCUGGUGAAGGGCAGCCAGGGGCCCUGCAGGGUCUCGGACCCGGGGUCCACAUCGUGGCCCUCUGUGCUGAUGCCAGGAGUGAGGGCGAGGAGCGGACGGAUGCCACUAACCUGCUAUACCAGCUCAUGUACUGACCUGACAGUGCAGGCCCCUCCCCCUCCACCCCACCACCCUCCUCGAGUUAAUGCUGCAACCCCCCCCCCCAGCUGCCCGUCUCAUCGAGAAUGUUCUGGAACAGCCAGCCAGCCUCCCCCGGGGGCCUGUCCAUGUUGCAGCCCUGUGACUGUCUGCAGGGAGCAGUCUGUAUCAGCUCCAUCUGCACUUCCCUGGCUCUGUGUCUGUCUCUCACUCUCCCUCUGGUGGUGUCUUGUCUGUCUGUCUGUGUGUGUCUGUCUGCCUAUAUGUGCAUGCCUCUCUCACCUCACUUAUUCUCCAGUGCUUUCUGGACCGUGUGUGUGUGUGUGUGUGUGUGUGUGUGUGUGUGUGUGUGUCUGUCCAUAAAUACCUGCAC